AUGACGAAGACAAAGGGAAAGAGGAGAGGCACCCGAUAUACGUUCUCUAGGCCUUUUAGAAAACAUGGAGUUGUUCCUUUGGCCACGUAUAUGCGAAUCUAUAAGAAAGGUGUUAUUGUAGACAUCAAGGGAAUGGGCACUGUUCAAAAAGGAAUGCCUCACAAGUGUCACCAUGGUAAAACUGGAAGAGUCUACAAUGUUACCCAGCAUGCUGUUGGCAUUGUUGUAAACAAACAAGUUAAGAGCAAGAUUCUUGCCAAGAGAAUUAAUGUGCGUAUUGAGCACAUUAAGCACUCUGAGAGCUGGGAUAGCUUCCUGAAAUACAUGAAGGAAAAUGAUCAGAAAAAGAAAGAAGCCAAAGAGAAAGGUACCUGGGUUCAACUGAAGUGCCAGCCUGCUCCACCCAGAGAAGCACACUUUGUGAGAACCAAUGAGAAGGAGCCUGAGCUGCUGGAACCUAUUCCGUAUGAACUCAUGGCAUAA
rnacentral:lncRNA from 1 species